rnacentral:lncRNA from 1 species
AGAUACGAAGGAUUAUGAGAUAACAGUAGAGAAAAAAGCAUGAAGUCUUUAACCUGUGAAGGUUGAAUCACAAGAGACAGCUAUGCGUUUCACAUACCGUACCGUGGCAUAUUGCUGUCAUCUACAAAAACAACAACUCAAAACUCAACUUGCUGAUGUUUCAAAGAUGCCACCGGAUAGAGAACUCUUAUGAGACACUUUACUGGAUUACCAAUGGGACCAGAAAAGAAGGGAAGCGAGGCGGAGGAGUGGCUGUGGUGGACAUCUAUCACUGAAUGUGAAUUGGCGAGCUCUGGGCACUGGGGUGCUAAGGCAAGGUACUGCAUGGACAAUUACUGAUGCCAAAGUAAAAGUAAGAAAAGGAGGGAAAAUGACAAGAGGAAGAAAAAAGAGCAAAGAGAGGGGAAACUGAGAGACUUCCAGUCCAAAAGCUUCCACCUCGUUGGUGUGGUAUACGUUUCUGCGUGUGACAGCAGAGAAUGAUUCAUAUCCUGUGAUGCGUAUGGUUUUGACAGUAUGAGUUAUUCCCCUCCCUUUGGCUAGAUAGUCUUUUGUGUUGUGUUGGGCUGGCUGAGGAAGGGGAGGUCAGUAGGAUGAAAUGGAAGCUUUUCUAUCACUGCUCCACUGGUCUGAGUCGGCUUGCCAGGAGGAGGAAACAGGCGGGACGACCUCAAUGGUCUCUCUGUACUCUCUGUACUGUACCUCACGCACACACACACACACACACACACACACACACACACACACACACACACACACACACACACACACACACACACACACACACACACACACACACACACACACACAGAGAAACAGUCAUCAUUUACCACUUCCUGUUUCUACCAGCUCUGACAGUCAAACGUCAAAUUUAGAAGUUGUUCAAAAAGUCAAAUUUACAAGUAUUUAAAGUUAAGUUUAGGCAUUAACACAAAAAUCUUUAAUUUAGGGUUACGUUUAUGCAUUAACUGCACAUUUUUAAGGUAUAAGUUAACCUCAAUUUCUCAUUCUUAUUAUAUUAAUUCUCAUUCUUAUUAUAUUAAUUCUUAUUAUAUUCAUUCUCAUUAUAGUAAUUUUCAUUUUUAUUAUAUUAAUUAUCAUUCUUAUAUUAAUUCUCAUUCUUAUUAUAUGAAUUACCUUUCUUGUUAUAUUAAUUCUCAUUCUUAUUAAAUUAAUUCUCAUUCUUAUUAUAUUAAUUCUCAUUCUUAUUACAUGAAUUUACCAUUGUUAUUAUAUUCAUUCCCAUUCUUAUUAUAUUCAUUCUCAUUCUUAUUGUCACGGUUGUUGUAUGAUGAAGGAGCGGAUCAAAGUGCAGCGUGUGUAUCGUUCCACAUUUUCUUUAUUAAACUGUGAAACUAUGCAAUACAUACAAAUAAACUGAAGAACAAAAAACAACAAACCGUGACGAAGAGGUGAAACUCACACUAACUCAAAAACAAUCUCCCACAAACCCAGGUGGAAAAAACAACUACUUAAGUAUGAUCUCCAAUUAGAGACAACGAUGACCAGCUGCCUCUAAUUGGAGAUCAUCCCAAAAAAACAACAUAGAAUUACAAAAACUAGAACAUAACAACAUAGAAAAUCUAAACUAGAAAACCCCCCUGUCAUGCCCUGACCUACUCUACCAUAGAAAAAUUUGUAAGUCGCUCUGGAUAAGAGCGUCUGCUAAAUGACUUAAAUGUAAAUGUAAAUGUAAAAUAACAGCUUUCUAUGGUCAGGACGUGACACAUAUUUUAUUAAUUCGCAUUCUUAUUAUAAUAAUUCUCAUUGUUAUUAUAUUCAUUCUUAGUAUAUUCUUAGUAUAUUCAUAAAUAAAAAGUUACAUGCAACUGAAAAAUUGGAGGAGCAGAAGAGGUGGGUCUGGCGCAUGUGCACCAAAAACAAAAGGUAUUUUUCCGGUUGCAUGUAACUUUUUAUUGAGAUCUUUUUGAAGUGCAUACCGGCCGUAGAGACAGUAAUGACGAUAGUUUCACUCCAUUCUUUGGUAAGUAAAGAACAAAUUUGUACAUUAUUAAACUUUAAAUACUGGUGAAUGGCAUGUUGAAAGGCUGUUUUCUGGGCUUAAAGGAGAAUCACCCACAUUCAAUGUCUCCUGUAAACCCAGAUUCUAGUUCAUAUUUACUGUAUGUUUUGACCUGCACAAUCUCAAACAAACGUCGGGCUUUUCAGUGUUUGAAAAGAAGGAUAAGGAGCAUUCCAGUAAAACAGUUGAUGUACUGUCCUAUAUGUGUUCUGGGACAAGAUAGGGACCCAACAUUUCUGUCAAUGUCCUCAAGUAUUUAUGAUCAACAUGUCCUGAGUCAAAUGAUCAACGAUGCAUCGACAGUUCCAUAAUUUCUUUACAACUUCCCAGUAGAUUAGGAUUGGCCUUUGACCACCGACGACAAACCACCUUUAGGAUUAGGAUAGGUCUUCGACCACCGACGACCAACCAACCUUAG